GAUGAACGCUGGCGGCGUGCUUAACACAUGCCAGUCGAACGGAAAGGCUCCUGCUUGCAGGGGUACUCGGGUGGCGAACGGGUGAGUAACACGUGGGUGAUCUGCCCUGCACUUCGGGAUAAGCCUGGGAAACUGGGUCUAAUACCGGAUAGGACCACAUUUUGGAUGGUGUGGUGGAAAGUUUUUCGGUGUGGGAUGAGCUCGCGGCCUAUCAGCUUGUUGGUGGGGUAAUGGCCUACCAAGGCGUCGACGGGUAGCCGGCCUGAGAGGGUGUACGGCCACAUUGGGACUGAGAUACGGCCCAGACUCCUACGGGAGGCAGCAGUGGGGAAUAUUGCACAAUGGGCGCAAGCCUGAUGCAGCGACGCCGCGUGGGGGAUGACGGCCUUCGGGUUGUAAACUCCUUUCGCUAGGGACGAAGCGCUUUUGUGACGGUACCUGGAGAAGAAGCACCGGCUAACUACGUG
rnacentral:rRNA from 1 species